UCCUACGGGAGGCAGCAGUGAGGAAUAUUGGUCAAUGGACGCAAGUCUGAACCAGCCAUGCCGCGUGCAGGAUGACGGCUCUAUGAGUUGUAAACUGCUUUUGUACUAGGGUAAACUCACCUACGUGUAGGUGACUGAAAGUAUAGUACGAAUAAGGAUCGGCUAACUCCGUGCCAGCAGCCGCGGUAAUACGGAGGAUUCAAGCGUUAUCCGGAUUUAUUGGGUUUAAAGGGUGCGUAGGCGGUUUGAUAAGUUAGAGGUGAAAUGUUAGGGCUCAACCCUGAAACUGCCUCUAAUACUGUUGGACUAGAGAGUAGUUGCGGUAGGCGGAAUGUAUGGUGUAGCGGUGAAAUGCUUAGAGAUCAUACAGAACACCGAUUGCGAAGGCAGCUUACCAAACUAUAUCUGACGUUGAGGCACGAAAGCGUGGGGAGCAAACAGGAUUAGAUACCCUGGUAGUCCACGCAGUAAACGAUGAUAACUCGUUGUCGGCGAUACACAGUCGGUGACUAAGCGAAAGCGAUAAGUUAUCCACCUGGGGAGUACGUUCGCAAGAAUGAAACUCAAAGGAAUUGACGGGGGCCCGCACAAGCGGAGGAACAUGUGGUUUAAUUCGAUGAUACGCGAGGAACCUUACCCGGGCUUGAAAGUUAGCGACGAUUCUUGAAAGAGGAUUUCCCUUCGGGGCGCGAAACUAGGUGCUGCAUGGUUGUCGUCAGCUCGUGCCGUGAGGUGUCGGGUUAAGUCCCAUAACGAGCGCAACCCCUACCGUUAGUUGCCAUCAGGUGAAGCUGGGCACUCUGGCGGGACUGCCGGUGUAAGCCGAGAGGAAGGUGGGGAUGACGUCAAAUCAGCACGGCCCUUACGUCCGGGGCUACACA
rnacentral:rRNA from 1 species